CGGCGAACGGGUGAGUAACACGUGAGCAACCUGCCCUAGGCUUUGGGAUAACCCUCGGAAACGGGGGCUAAUACCGAAUAUUACUGCUGGCCGCAUGGCUGGUGGUGGAAAGUUUUUCGGCCUGGGAUGGGCUCGCGGCCUAUCAGCUUGUUGGUGGGGUGAUGGCCUACCAAGGCGACGACGGGUAGCCGGCCUGAGAGGGCGACCGGCCACACUGGGACUGAGACACGGCCCAGACUCCUACGGGAGGCAGCAGUGGGGAAUAUUGCACAAUGGGCGGAAGCCUGAUGCAGCGACGCCGCGUGAGGGAUGACGGCCUUCGGGUUGUAAACCUCUUUCAGCAGGGACGAAGCGCAAGUGACGGUACCUGCAGAAGAAGCGCCGGCCAACUACGUGCCAGCAGCCGCGGUAAGACGUAGGGCGCGAGCGUUGUCCGGAUUUAUUGGGCGUAAAGAGCUCGUAGGCGGCUUGUCGCGUCGACUGUGAAAACCCGCGGCUCAACUGCGGGCCUGCAGUCGAUACGGGCAGGCUAGAGUUCGGUAGGGGAGACU
rnacentral:rRNA from 1 species